rnacentral:ncRNA from 1 species
UCUUAUCGCGAGAGGUGGAGGGACUAGGCCCGAUGAAACCCGGCAACCUUCAAACAACAUAGUUUGAAAAGGUGCCAAUUCCUACAGGUCCGUAUGAUCUGAGAGAUAAGA